GAUGGGAUUCAUUCAAUUGAGAUUCUUGAAGGGAAGAUCAAACUAUCUUGUCCUCGUGCAGCUGUUAAUGUGGGCUCUGUAGUGGACUUCAUUACAGUUCAUCACCCUGAAACCCCUGUUCCUGCCUACUUUCAAACGCCAAAACCUGCCCCAGCCCCUGCUGCCCCUUGGUCCCCAGGUUUUGUCUAUCCUCAGCCUUUAAAGCCAACUAUAGCUACUCGCAAACCUAUUCCUACCUUCCCUGAGCCUUCAAAACCUGCCUCAGCCACUGCUGUCCCGUGGAUCCCAGGCUUUGUGUUCCCUGAGCCUUCAAAACCUGCCUCAGCCACUGCUGUCCCGUGGAUCCAAGGCUUUGUGUUCCCUGAGCCUUCAAAACCUGCCUCAGCCACUGCUGCCCCUUGGCCCCCAGGCUUUGUGUUCCCUGAGCCUUCAAAACCUGCCUCAGCCACUGCUGUCCCGUGGAUCCAAGGCUUUGUGUUCCCUGAGCCUUCAAAACCUGCCUCAGCCACUGCUGCCCCUUGGCCCCCAGGCUUUGUGUUCCCUGAGCCUUCAAAACCUGCCUCAGCCACUGCUGCCCCUUGGCCCCCAGGCUUUGUGUUCCCUGAGCCUUCAAAACCUGCUUCAGCUCCUGCUGCCCCUUGGUCCCCAGGUUUUGUCUAUCCUCAGCCUUUAAAGCCAACUAUAGCUACUCCCAAACAUCUUCCUACCUUCCCUCAUCCUUCAAAACCUGUCCCAGCCACUGCUGCCCCUUGGUUCCCAGGCUUUCUGUUCCCUCAGCCUUCAAAACCUGCUCUAGCCACUGCUGCCCCUAGACCAGCUCCUGCCUACCCUAAGCCUGAAACUAGAAGAGAUGCUUUGCCUCCUCAUCAAUCCUAUAACAGUCCUAUUCCACCUUGGUCUGUCUACCUUCAGCCUGCUGCUUCUACCUGGGGCCCUCGGCGUUUCUACCCUCCCUACAGGAGCCACCCUCCAGCUGGCUACCCUUGCGGUUACUCUAACUGUUGGCCUAUCUCAUAUCAUCAGCACAACCACCUCCACCUGGAUUCGGGUAACUUUGCUGACUGUGCUCAAGUUUCUGCCCUAGCUGGAGAGCCUCAUCCUGCCUCUUAUGUCCCAGUAUUGCCUUAUUCCAAGAAAUAUAACCUGCAAUAUGCCCCCUUUUCCUCCAAGUCACUGCUUGGUGGUUCUGCCAUCCAGUUACCAACUCCAGCUUUGCCCCCUCAGGUAUCGCAUCAAGCCUUCAAGAACUAUUGGGACCUUGUUGUGCCUUUCUCUAGCUCUCAAUCUAACCCUAAAGGCCCUUCUGCACUACACUCAACCUCUCUUUCUCAAGAAGCUGUUGAUGUCCCUUUGCCUCACCCUCAUCUUGGGUCUAAUGCCAAUAAUUACUGGUCUGAUACUAGGCCUCUGUACCCUGCUCCUCAAACCCCAAAGCAACCAAUAUUUCCCCAUCGACCAGUCCAGCAUUUUAGUAAUGGCCAUAAGCCUCGUUGGUGA
rnacentral:lncRNA from 1 species